CCCAGUAAUACCUGGAAGAAAACUGUAUCUGUCAAGAAGAGGAAGAACAUUAAUGUAUAGAACAGAAGCUGUGAUGUUUCUAUUGUCUUCAACAGAUAACACUCAUGAACAAAAAAUGAGUAAAUUUAUGGUGGAUCACAACAGUGAUGGGUUAUGAAUUCCAAAAAGAUUGUCCUCCAGAAUAUAAGAAAAAAUGACUAAAGAAGCAGAUUUAAAAUAUAGUUAAAGUGAAACCAAAAUAGAAAAAUCACAUCAAUUUUUAAAAGAUCAAGAGAACAUACAGAUUAUAUCAGAACCACUCUGGAAAGAAAACCAUUUUGAAUUGAAACAUUAUGCUUAUGUUAACAGAAGGAAAUUGGAAUGUAUUUCAACAAGAUGAGUAAUGUUAUCUACUUCAUUCCGUAUCAUGUCCAAGAUUGUAGAAAAUUGCAGUCUACUAUCUGUCAACCAUCUAAUCACUUGCUGCUUGCCUAGAGAUCCAGAUGAAAACUUUAAGGCUCCCCAUGAGGAUAUUUUGGUGACCAAAAAAAGUGACCAGGAAAAAUUCCUGCCUAGAAUUUAGG